GUCCCUUUUCUUUACAACCCCCAUCAGUUGAGAAUUCAGUCUUCCUUGAGGUUGUCUCAUUGGUUUAGCAUCACUUGAUAAGUCAAUACAAAACAAAGAAUGAUCUUUAAUCGGAUGCUUCCNAGAUUCCAACACAUUGAAGCGCACUUUCUCGUCUCCUAUCUCCAUUGUCAAUGAUCCUGCAUGCACAUCUAUCUUGGUUCGUGCUGUC
rnacentral:lncRNA from 1 species